rnacentral:tRNA from 1 species
GCGCGGGUAGCUCAGCGGUAGAGCGGCUCGUUUACACCGAGUUGGUCGGGGGUUCGAUCCCCUCCCCGCGCACCA